GUUGGGCGAUACCAUGCUUCCAGGAAAAGCUACUAAGCUUCAGCUACACACGACCGUACCGCAAACCGACACUGGUGCGCGAGAUGAGUAUUCUAAGGCGCUUGAGAGAACUCAGGAGAAGGAACUCGGCAAAUUGACACCGUAACUUCGGAAGAAGGUGUGCCUUUAGUAUGUGAACCUGUACAAGGGGAGCAGAAUGAGGCCUCAGAGAAUCGGUGGCUGCGACUGUUUAAUGAAAACACAGCACUCUGCAAACACGAAAGUGGACGUAUAGGGUGUGACGCCUGCCCGGUGCUGGAAGAUUAAAUGAUGGGGUGCAAGCUCUUAAUUGAAGUCCCAGUAAACGGCGGCCGUAACAAUAACGGUCCUAAGGUAGCGAAAUUCCUUGUCGGGUAAGUUCCGACCUGCACGAAUGGCGUAACGAUGGCCACACUGUCUCCUCCUGAGACUCAGCGAAGUUGAAAUGUUUGUGAUGAUGCAAUCUCCCCGCGGAAAGACGGAAAGACCCCAUGAACCUUUACUGUAGCUUUGUAUUGGACUUUGAACAGAUCUGUGUAGGAUAGGUGGGAGGCUUUGAAGCAGGGUCGCCAGAUCUUGUGGAGCCAACGUUGAAAUACCACCCUGGUGUGUUUGAGGUUCUAACCUAGGUCCAUUAUCUGGAUCGGGGACAGUGCAUGGUAGGCAGUUUGACUGGGGCGGUCUCCUCCCAAAGCGUAACGGAGGAGUUCGAAGGUACGCUAGGUACGGUCGGACAUCGUGCUAAUAGUGCAAUGGCAUAAGCGUGCUUAACUGCGAGACUGACAAGUCGAGCAGAUACGAAAGUAGGACAUAGUGAUCCGGUGGUUCUGUAUGGAAGGGCCAUCGCUCAACGGAUAAAAGGUACUCUGGGGAUAACAGGCUGAUACCGCCCAAGAGUUCAUAUCGACGGCGGUGUUUGGCACCUCGAUGUCGGCUCAUCUCAUCCUGGGGCUGUAGCCGGUCCCAAGGGUAUGGCUGUUCGCCAUUUAAAGAGGUACGUGAGCUGGGUUUAAAACGUCGUGAGACAGUUUGGUCCCUAUCUUCCGUGGGCGCUGCAGAUUUGAGGAAGCCUGCUCCUAGUACGAGAGGACCGGAGUGGACACACCUCUGGUGUAUCGGUUGUCACGCCAGUGGCAUUGCCGAGUAGCUAUGUGUGGAAGAGAUAACCGCUGAAAGCAUCUAAGCGGGAAACUCGUUUCAAGAUGAGAUCUGCCGGGGCCUCGAGCCCCCUAAAGAGUCGUUCAAGACCAGGACGUUGAUAGGUCAGGUGUGGAAGCGCAGUAAUGCGUUAAGCUAACUGAUACUAAUUGCUCGUGCGGCUUGAUC
rnacentral:rRNA from 1 species